GUUAAUUUGGUAGCCAGAUAUUUCCGAGUCUGGUCCUAUUAAUUUUUCUAAAUAUGGGUUCAGUCUGUUUGUCAUCAAAAAAAAAAAAAAAAACAACUUUCGUCAUCAGUUUGAGGUCUAUGUUUAGCAGGAAAAUGGGGCGGUAUUGGCCGGGUUUGUCUUGGGGGUUUUCAGGUUUGGGUUCGAAGGUGAUGUAUGCUUGGGUCAUGUCUGGUGGAAGAGGG